GAGUUAGUAGUUCAAUUGGUAGAAUGUUUUCUUGUCAAGAAAAAGAAUAUCGGUUCGAUUCCGGUAUAACUCG
rnacentral:tRNA from 1 species